rnacentral:rRNA from 1 species
UACGUAGGUGGCAAGCGUUGUCCAGAUUUACUGGGCGUAAAGGGCGUGCAGGCGGUUUGUUAAGUCUAGGGUGAAAGCUCCCGGCUCAACUGGGAGAGGUCCUUGGAUACUGGCAGACUUGAGGAGGGUAGAGGAGAGUGGAAUUCCCGGUGUAGUGGUGAUAUGCGUAGAUAUCGGGAGGAACACCAGUGGCGAAGGCGGCUCUCUGGGCCCUACCUGACGCUGAGACGCGAAAGCGUGGGGAGCGAACCGG